rnacentral:rRNA from 1 species
CGCGCAGGUGGUUUCUUAAGUCUGAUGUGAAAGCCCACGGCUCAACCGUGGAGGGUCAUUGGAAACUGGGAGACUUGAGUGCAGAAGAGGAUAGUGGAAUUCCAAGUGUAGCGGUGAAAUGCGUAGAGAUUUGGAGGAACACCAGUGGCGAAGGCGACUGUCUGGUCUGUAACUGACACUGAGGCACGAAAGCGUGGGAGCAAACA